rnacentral:rRNA from 1 species
ACGGAAGGCAGCAGUAGGGAAUAUUGCACAAUGGGGGAAGCCCUGAUGCGGCAACGCCACGUGUGGGAAGAAGCAUUUCGGUGUGUAAACCACUGUCGUGAGGGAAUAAGGCAUUGUUUCGGCGAUGUUGAAUGUACCUCGAAAGGAAGCACCGGCAAACUUCGUGCCAGCAGCCGCGGUAAUACGAGGGGUGCAAGCGUUGUUCGGAAUCACUGGGCGUAAAGGGAGCGCAGGCAGAGAUGCAAGCGGACUGUACAAUCCCGGGGCCCAACCCCGGACCUGCAGUCCGGACUGCACCUCUUGGAUAGUUCAGGGGCAAGCGGAAUUCCUGGUGUAGCGGUGGAAUGCGUAGAGAUCAGGAAGAACACCGAUGGCGAAGGCAGCUUGCUGGGGACUUAUCGACGCUCAUGCUCGAAAGUGCGGGUAGCAAACAGGAUUAGAUACCCUGGUA